UUAUUGGAGAGUUUGAUCCUGGCUCAGGACGAACGCUGGCGGCAUGCCUAAUACAUGCAAGUCGAGCGGAGUUGAUAGAAAGCUUGCUUUCUUGAUGCUUAGCGGCGGACGGGUGAGUAACACGUAGGCAACCUGCCCUCAAGUUUGGGACAACUACCGGAAACGGUAGCUAAUACCGAAUAGUUGUUUUCUUCUCCUGAAGGAAACUGGAAAGACGGAGCAAUCUGUCACUUGGGGAUGGGCCUGCGGCGCAUUAGCUAGUUGGUGGGGUA
rnacentral:rRNA from 1 species